rnacentral:rRNA from 1 species
UGCAAGCCGCCGCGGUAAUACGUAGGGUGCAAGCGUUGUCCGGAAUUAUUGGGCGUAAAGAGCUCGUAGGCGGUUUGUCGCGUCUGCUGUGAAAUCCCGAGGCUCAACCUCGGGCUUGCAGUGGGUACGGGCAGACUAGAGUGCGGUAGGGGAGAUUGGAAUUCCUGGUGUAGCGGUGGAAUGCGCAGAUAUCAGGAGGAACACCGAUGGCGAAGGCAGAUCUCUGGGCCGUAACUGACGCUGAGGAGCGAAAGCAUGGGGAGCGAACAGGAUUAGAUACCCUGGUAGUCCAUGCCGUAAACGUUGGGCGCUAGAUGUAGGGACCUUUCCACGGUUUCUGUGUCGUAGCUAACGCAUUAAGCGCCCCGCCUGGGGAGUACGGCCGCAAGGCUAAAACUCAAAGGAAUUGACGGGGGCCCGCACAAGCGGCGGAGCAUGCGGAUUAAUUCGAUGCAACGCGAAGAACCUUACCAAGGCUUGACAUACACCGGAAACGGCCAGAGAUGGUCGCCCCCUUGUGGUCGGUGUACAGGUGGUGCAUGGUUGUCGUCAGCUCGUGUCGUGAGAUGUUGGGUUAAGUCCCGCAACGAGCGCAACCCUCGUUCUAUGUUGCCAGCGGGUUAUGCCGGGGACUCAUAGGAGACUGCCGGGGUCAACUCGGAGGAAGGUGGGGAUGACGUCAAAUCAUCAUGCCCCUUAUGCCUUGGGCUUCACGCAUGCUACAAUGGCCGGUACAAAGGGCUGCGAUACCGUAAGGUGGAGCGAAUCCCAAAAAGCCGGUCUCAGUUCGGAUUGAGGUCUGCAACUCGACCUCAUGAAGUCGGAGUCGCUAGUAAUCGCAGAUCAGCAACGCUGCGGUGAAUACGUUCCCGGGCCUUGCAC